CUGGGAGAAGGCCCUGGGGCAGAACAGAGCAUGGCAAGUCUGAGAACCUAAACCCAGGGGUCGCUGUGGCUGGUGCCUAUGUGGAGAGCAAGGAGGAGUACGGACCAGGCAAGGCUGAAAGAGGUGAAGAUGGGCAGAAAAAUGAACCAUCAAAAAAGAAGAAGGAGGAUCAAUGCAUGACUCAUGAAUCAGUCUUGCUUUACUGAAAAGUUUCAGAAAACUCAAGAUUUUCUUCAUGCACUCAAUUUGUGAAUGACCCCACCAUUCACCAGUUUUUCCAGCUGAAACCCAGGAGGCCACAACAGGAUUUGAGCGGCCUAUAGAGAUCCAAAUGCUACUGACAGCAGCACUGAGGGCCCACUCAACUGCAGGAUGAGGGGCCCUGGCAUGACAGGUACUCCUGAUGAGUACUUUAGCCAUCCUGCUCCAAACUGCUUCACUCGCUUUAUCCCUGCAAUUGCCUAAGAUAACAGUCCCCAGAACUGAUUAGCCAGUUUCAUCUAAGGUGGGGUCCGCAAACUGGUUAAUUUUCCAAAUAAAGUUUUAUUGGGACUCAGCCACACCCA
rnacentral:lncRNA from 10 species